AAACGACUCUCGGCAACGGAUAUCUCGGCUCACGCAUCGAUGAAGAACGUAGCAAAAUGCGAUACUUGGUGUGAAUUGCAGAAUCCCGUGAACCAUCGAGUUUUUGAACGCAAGUUGCGCCCAAAGCCUUAUGGCCGAGGGCACAUCUGCCUGGGCGUCACGC
rnacentral:rRNA from 1 species